CCCUUAGAUGUUCUGGGCGGCCCGCGCACUACAAUGGCGUGUGCAGCGAGUGCCGAAGUAGAGUUUUCCGAGGUAUUCUUGCAAUGCUCGUUUUGAUGGGGAUAGACCCUUGCAACAGUUGGUUUUGAACGAGGAAUUCCUUGUAAGCAUGGUUUAUCAUCCGACGCUGAAUGCGUCCCUGCCCUUUGUACACACCGCCCGUCGCUCCUACCGAUGAGUCGUCCGGUGAAGUUCGUAGACCUCGUGAUUGCGGAUCACUGGGGGAAGCAAAAUGAACCUCGCGGUUUAGAGGAAGGAGAAGUCGUAACA
rnacentral:rRNA from 1 species